UAGAUUGAAGCCCGCUGGUUUGGGUUUUUAGUUGUUAACUAAAGCUUACGGGGUCGAGGCCCGUCGAUCUAG
rnacentral:tRNA from 1 species